UACGAAGGGGGCUAGCGUUGUUCGGAAUCACUGGGCGUAAAGGGCGCGUAGGCGGCUUUAUAAGUCGGGGGUGAAAGCCUGUGGCUCAACCACAGAAUUGCCUUCGAUACUGUAGAGCUUGAGACCGGAAGAGGUAAGUGGAACUGCGAGUGUAGAGGUGAAAUUCGUAGAUAUUCGCAAGAACACCAGUGGCGAAGGCGGCUUACUGGUACGUUCGUGACGCUGAGGCGCGAAAGCGUGGGGAGCAAACAGG
rnacentral:rRNA from 1 species